UACGGAGGGGGCUAGCGUUGUUCGGAAUUACUGGGCGUAAAGCGCACGUAGGCGGCUUUGCAAGUCAGAGGUGAAAGCCCGGGGCUCAACCCCGGAAUUGCCUUUGAGACUGCAUCGCUAGAACGUCGGAGAGGUGAGUGGAAUUCCGAGUGUAGAGGUGAAAUUCGUAGAUAUUCGGAAGAACACCAGUGGCGAAGGCAACUCACUGGACGACUGUUGACGCUGAGGUGCGAAAGCGUGGGGAGCAAACAGG
rnacentral:rRNA from 1 species